AGGGGUGUAGCUCUAAUUGGUAGAGCAGCGGUCUCCAAAACCGACGGUUGGGAGUUCGAGUCUCUCCACCCCUGCCA
rnacentral:tRNA from 3 species